UGCGUAGGCGGCCCGGAAAGUUGGGUGUGAAAGCCCUCGGCUCAACCGAGGAAUUGCGCCCAAAACUACCGGGCUGGAGGAAGGCAGAGGUAAGCGGAACUUAGGGUGGAGCGGUGAAAUGCGUUGAUAUCCUAAGAAACACCAGGAGUGAAAGCGGCUUACUGGGCCUUUUCUGACGCUGAGGCACGAAAGCUAGGGGAGCGAACGGGAUUAGAUACCCCGGUAGUCCUAGCCGUAAACGAUGAGCACUGGGUUGAAGGGUCCCCCAUAACCCUUCAGCCGUAGCGAAAGUGUUAAGUGCUCCGCCUGGGGAGUAUGGUCGCAAGGCUGAA
rnacentral:rRNA from 1 species